CCACCCAGCACCAGACGUCAUUUGGACGUCGUUUUCUGGUCUAAAUCAAGUCGGCCCGUCAUGGCCAUCUUUUAGACCAAAAAGCGACGUUGAAAAUUGGUCUUCAUUUGGUCCGUCGGAUUUGGUCCAAAUUAAGCCCAAAAAGCGACGUUGAAAAUUGGUCUUCGUUUGGUCCGUCGGAUUUGGUCCAAAUUAAGCCCAAAAAGCGACAUUUAACGUCUUUUUUUUUUUUUAAUUUAGCCCAAAAAUAGAUGUAAAUGGGCUUUAGUCCAAAUUUAGCAGAAAAAAAACUUUUAUUUCGCACCACAAAGCCAUUAACAUAAACUAGUGAAGAAAUUAGACAUCAUGUCUGAUCGCACUGUUAAAUAUAUUUAAAUAUAUUUUGAAAACACUUGAUGGUCACGCGCUGUACUGGAGUCACCAUGGAAACGGGGCCCAGCUCAACCGUCAAGCAGCUGAACAGACGCUGUCUCUCAUGGUUGUUUUCACUAAUUUCAGUUUAUAGAAAUGGUCAGUGUCUUCAUGAAAAGUCCGUUAGCAUCUCAACUGUAAUGCUAACUACAAGAGAUUCUUCCAUGCUGAUGGCCGUGCCUGUAUCCAGCUGAAGAACAUUUUUAGACAUUAUGAAACAUAUAACUAAGACUGAAAAUCAUUGAUAAACCACAAGCUCCAACCCCAGUUAAGCAGACCUGAGCAGCUGAUCAAGGAUCAGCAGAAACUCUGCAGAACGGUGGUCCUCCAGCCCAGGACUGGACACCAGUGUUAUGCUGCAGAAAAAAGAGCGAGGCUAAAGCAUUCAAAGUGGAAACAUCUGCCGUGGCUCAUUAAUCCAGAAUUGGGAUGGAGGAAGGAGCAGAAGAUCAGAGAUCAGGCAGAGAUCUACUGGUGCCCCUGUGGGAACCCCAUUUACCUAAUGUGUUAGUUUAACCAAAGAUUUUCCUCACUCACCUUUAUGUUGUUCCAAACCAGACUUUUGUUCAUCCUUGAAACAUAAAUGCGGAACUUUUUAAUGAAAUCUGAGAUUAUUUUCUUUAUAUAAAAUAACACAUUCACACAAGCACCAUGAUGCAUCAGUGUUGCAUUGGCGUGAGAGCUGGCGCUUUUGGUGCUUUUGUGAAAAUCCAUUGGGGAGUCAUAAUUUCUGAAUAGAUUAUUUUUGCUGUUGUAAUUGUUUGUUUGUUUUUUUUUUUGUACACAAGGCAUCUGUUAAAAAAAUAUCUUAAUUUGUGUUCUGCACAAAAGGGUGUUAUGGGUUUGGGGCAACAUGAGGGUAAGUAAUUAAUGACAGAAUUAAAAUUUUUGGUUGUUCUAAUGUGGUUAUAAUUGGUCAUAGUUUAUUUGUCUUGAAAAAAUAUAUUUAUACAGAAACAUGGAUUAAUUUGAUAAGUUUAUAGUAAAGCCUUUUAAAUUGAUAAAAAAAAAAAAAAUCUAAAUAAAUACUACUCUUUU